AACGUAGGAGACAAACGUUAUCCGGAGUUACUGGGCGUAAAGGGCGUGCAGGCGGUUAUCUAAGUCUGGUGUGAAAUCUGUCGGCUUAACCGGGAGAGGUCAUUGGAAACUGGAUAACUCGAGGACGGUAGAGGCGUGUGGAAUUCCGGGUGUAGUGGUGAAAUGCGUAGAUAUCCGGAGGAACACCAGUGGCGAAGGCGACACGCUGGGCCGUACCUGACGCUAAGACGCGACAGCAUGGGGAGCGAACGGGAUUAGAAACCCCGGUAGUCCAUGCCGUAAACGAUGCCAGCUGGAUGUUCGUACCUCGAAAGGGGUAUGGGUAUCGAAGCCAACGCGCUAAGCUGGCCGCCUGGGGAGUACGGUCGCAAGAUUAAA
rnacentral:rRNA from 1 species